CUGGACUGAAGUGGCAUGAUCACAGCUCGCUGCAACCUUAACCUCUUGGUCUCAAUUGAUCCUCCUACCUGAACCUCUCAAGUAGAGCUGGGACUACAGUGCACACCACCAUGCCCAGCAAUGUGUGAAAGAGCCUCUUUCCCUACUGCUUCACCAAGUUUAAAACUUCAAAUUUUUUCAACUUGAUAGGUAAGAAAUUACAUUUUGGUUUUAUUUUUUAUUUCUCUUCUCAUGGGUGAAGGUGAACAUCUCUUAAAA
rnacentral:lncRNA from 10 species